AGCAGCCGCGGUAAUUCCAGCUCCAAUAGCGUAUAUUAAAGUUGUUGCAGUUAAAAAGCUCGUAGUUGAAUUUUGGGUUUGGCCGAUUGGUCCGUUCUUGUAACGAGUACUGGUCGGUUGGGCCUCACCGCUUGGUGAUGCGUAAUGCCCUUUAUUGGGUGUUGCGAGUAGCCAAGACCUUUACCUUGAAAAAUUAGAGUGUUUAAAGCAGGCAUAUGCCGGAAUACAUUAGCAUGGAAUAAUAGAAUAGGACAACGAUUCUAUUUUGUUGGUUUCUAGGACCGUUGUAAUGAUUAAUAGGGAUAGUUGGGGGCAUUAGUAUUCAAUUGUCAGAGGUGAAAUUCUUGGAUUUAUUGAAGACUAACUACUGCGAAAGCAUUCGCCAAGGAUGUUUUCAUUAAUCAAGAACGAAAGUUAGGGGAUCGAAGACGAUCAGAUACCGUCGUAGUCUUAACCAUAAACUAUGCCGACUAGGGAUCGGGCGAAGUUGUUUCAAUGACUCGCUCGGCACCUUAUGGGA
rnacentral:rRNA from 1 species